rnacentral:rRNA from 1 species
GCCAGACUCCUACGGGAGGCAGCAGUGAGGAAUAUUGGUCAAUGGUCGGGAGACUGAACCAGCCAAGCCGCGUGAGGGAUGAAGGUACAGAGUAUCGUAAACCUCUUUUGUCAGGGAACAAAGGCGGGGACGUGUCCCCGGAUGAGUGUACCCGAAGAAAAAGCAUCGGCUAACUCCGUGCCAGCAGCCGCGGUAAUACGGAGGAUGCGAGCGUUAUCCGGAUUUAUUGGGUUUAAAGGGUGCGCAGGCGGAAGAUCAAGUCAGGGGUAAAAUGGAGAGGCUCAACCUCUGCGAGCCGUUGAAACUGGUUUUCUUGAGUGAGCGAGAAGUAUGCGGAAUGCGUGGUGUAGCGGUGAAAUGCAUAGAUAUCACACAGAACACCGAUUGCGAAGGCAUCUCACGAAUCCGCGAUUGACGCUGAUGCACGAAAGCGUGGGUAUCAAACAGGAUUAGAUACCCCCGUA